UUCAAUGCCAGAAUCGAGCUUAGCUCACUCCCUAUGAGCGGGAUCUACCGCCAGUAUGUUCUUAAUAUUUCGUACGAGAUAAGCAGAAUUUUGUGCAUAAAGUCAUCAGGCUGUGGAAGAAGUAAAUCCCAAAGAAACAGGGUCUGUUUUAAAGCUCUACAGAUUCUCUCCUUCGGGAUUGGACCAGACAGCCAGCUUUCGCUCCCCAUGUGCAUCAGUGAGCCUUGGGCGUCCAUGACCCUGCUGGUUCACCAGUUGGCCUUCCAUGGACCACUUUUGUGAUUUACGUUCUACGCCGGGCCACAGAUUGAGCUUUGGGCCAUGAUUUAGUUUGCUGUGACAGAGGCACUAAAACAAGCAGGCAGGAACAGCCCCACCCCAGACUGCGGACGGCGGAGGAGCUGGCCGGGCGAGCAAUUACCGCGGUGCCGUUUUUACCAUCGCCGGCCAUUAUUCCUCCGGAGGUGACAAAUAAAAGGGGACACGUUGCUAAAUGGAGCCACUGCGGGCAGCCUCCAGCCUCUGCCGGAGAAAAUGGGUGCAUUUGGUCAGAGACGGUGGAGGGGGAGGGGGAGGGGGAUGCAACUGGAACGUCAAGACCCUGCACGAGUCCGGCACCCUCCAGCCUCUUCCACUGCAAUCACGUUGGCUAAAAAUACCACCAGGCAUCCCGUCACGAAUCUACCGUUACAUGAGCACUCAGCUGAUUUCACAAAAAAAAAAAGAAAAUUAUAUUUGAUGAGCUGGUAAAUAUUAACUAUGAAGAAAGUACUCUGUUGUUGUAAUUGUCCAUCCAUCUUUUAUGACCACAGUGAAAGAAUAAAAUAUUCUAUGGUACAAAGAAGAACUGCCACACGAGCAACAAGAUUGUAUUAAUCCCAGAAUUCCUCUGGUUCAAACAGGAGAAGGAGGAGCAGGCACGCACCUGUUCAGG